UACGGAGGGAGCUAGCGUUGUUCGGAAUUACUGGGCGUAAAGCGCGCGUAGGCGGCUUUGUAAGUUAGAGGUGAAAGCCCGGGGCUCAACCCCGGAACUGCCUUUAAGACUGCAUCGCUUGGAUCCGGGAGAGGUGAGUGGAAUUCCGAGUGUAGAGGUGAAAUUCGUAGAUAUUCGGAAGAACACCAGUGGCGAAGGCGGCUCACUGGACCGGCAUUGACGCUGAUGUGCGAAAGCGUGGGGAGCAAACAGG
rnacentral:rRNA from 1 species